CCUACUGGGCAAGGAACCACAGCUGAGAAAACUGUCGAGAAGAGAUGAUUCUUUGUGUAUAGAACUGACAAAUAGGUGGUUGAAAAGCUGCUCCUGACCACAGAAGCUGGAAGAAUGACACAGCAAGAAGCAGGCAGAGAAAGUUCACACAGACAUUCAUCAUCAUUUCUAGGGCUAAUGAAGAGAAACAACUUUCCGAGUACUCAAAUUUCUACUGAAGGUCAUUCUACUGAAGGAUUGAAGUAGAGCUAUCUUCAAUUCCACUUCUUGGAAAAAAAGAGUGAAGCUGAUCUCUAGAGGUGAGAAAAAGAAUUUACUGAAAGAAUUCUUUUUCCAGGUUCAGUUCAUGUGAUUGCUUAUUAUAAAUCACACCUUUAUUAAAAAGCAGCUUGAAUGAGUCUCUGCCUAGCUCCCAGAUGACUCUACCUAGAACUCAAAUGAAUGACAUGGAGACAGGACCAUGGAACAAGAUUGUUCUUUUUUCAAGAGCCUGAAGUGGGGUCAAAUUAUCAACAAAGGAAAGGUUAUACUUUUUGAAAACAAGACAGGAUGAAGAGAAAUGUAGCCUGGAAGACCCAUUAAUUAUUACUAUUAAUUUUUAAUAAUAAUAUAACUAUUGUUAUAGUUCUAUAAUCCUAUAUUCUAUGGUAUCUAAUCUAAUGUUAGAAUCUGUUAAUGGGUCACUUUGGCUAAAGAUAAAGAUAUAUGUAAUAAAAUAAUCUACUGUAUCUGCAUUAUGUAAAGGUUCAUUUAUAUUUUGUCUUCCUGUUUCUGCUUGAUGAAGAGAAAGUUGUAGUGGGUUGAAAUCAAAUUUAGUUCAACUAUUCAAUCCAAUAGUUGAAUUGGAAUCUCAAAAAUUCUAGCUAGGACUCUCACCACCUAUAGAGUCCCUGUAAAGUCAGUUAGAUGAAUUUUGCAUUCAGUAUCACCUGCAAAAGUGAUUAUGCUGUUCACAUAAGGAUGCUAUUGCUUAGGCUCUGAUCUUUUUUGCAGUUAUUACCAGGUAUAGGCUCAAGAUCCAUGACCCUUAGAAAAGUGUGAGGUCUUGGAGUUGAAAUAGUUUGAGACCAGUUUGUAACUUACCUGUCAAGCUAUUUGAAUAUGUUACUGAGUAACAGUUUCUUCCCAUAAAAAAUGGAGAGAAAAAUAUGUUCCUUGACAAGUGUGGAGAAGGAUGAAACAAAAUAUGUAAAUUAACUACCCAGUGCUUCCAAGUGCUUCACUACUAUGUCACUAUAAUAACUAUGAUUUUUAUUACAUAGGUAAAAUGUCCAACCACAUAAGAAAAAUUCUAAAACAAAAAUCAUUCUGUAAAAGCAAGUUCCAGUUUUCCACUUAUUGAUUAAUUAAUUACAUUGAUUAUAUUUCCCACGUUGUACAUAUCAUACAUAUGCUUUAUUUUAUAACUAAAAUUUGUACCUCUUAAUCUCCUUCAUGUAUUUCUUUUCUCCUCUCAUCCCUCCCCACUCUGGCAACUGUCUAGUUUCUGUAUCUAUGACUCUGUUCCUGUUUAGUUAUGUUUGUUUCCUUGUUUUUUUUUUUUUUUUUAGAUUCUACAUAUAAGUGAAAUCAAUCAGUAAUCAUGGUUCUCUUACUUAUAAUAACUAACAUAAUAUAUCCUCUAGGUCCAUCCAUGUUGUGGCAAAUGGCAAAAUUUCAUUAUUUUUUAUCAUAUCUUCUUUAUCCAUUCAUUUAUUGAUAGACGCUUAGGUUUCUUCCAUAUCUCCAUAUCCUAACUACUAUAAAUAAAGCUACUGUGAACAUUGGGGUGCAUGUAUCUUUUCUAAAGAGUAUUUUCCUUUUAUUUGGAUAAAAUCCAGAGAUGGAAUUGCAGAAUCAAAUGGUAGUUCUACUUUUAACAGUGUGAGGAAUCACCAUACUGUUUUCCCUAGUGGACACAGUGUUCUACAUUUUCAACAGUGAAAGACGGUUCUUUUUCUCCACAGUCUCACCAGCUCUAGCUAUUUUUUGUAUUUUUGAUAACAGUUUUUCUGACCGGUAGGAUGUGGAUCUCAGUUAUGGUUUUGAUUUGCAUCUCCCUAACAAUAAGUGAUGCUGAGCUUCUUUUCAUACGCCUGUUACCAUCUGUAUGUCUUCUUUGGAAAAAUGUCUGUAGGAGUCCUCUGCCCAUUUUUCAGUAAUCAUCUAGUUUUUUACAAUGUUGAGUUGUAUGACUUCUUGGUAUGUUUUAGGAAUUAACCCUUUAUCAGAUACAUCAUUUGCAAAUUUUUACAUUUACUUUUGAAAAAAUAUUUUCAAUACAUACAAAUUUCUGGGUAGUUCCUAUCAGCAUGUUCAAGAUGUAAUACAACUUUCCCCUGGCUUCUAUUUCACCCAUGAAAAGUUAGCUGUCAUUUUCAUGGUUGCUUAUUUGAAGGAUGAGUGGCUUUUUUUUUUUUUUUUUGUCUGCUUUUUUACCUUUGUUUUUCAGUGGUCUUAGUAGUAUGUACUUAGAUGUAAUUUUUAUUGUAUUCAUAUAUAUUGAGUUUUCCAGUACUUUUGAAGGUGUUUUAACUAACUUUUCCCAUAUUUUCCCAUAAAAAGUUUCUAAUAUUAAUGGUUCUUAUAUAGUUCCCCCCACAUUCCAUGUCCUCUACUUCUGAAUUUCAAUAUUAAUGUUAGACCAUCUUUCUGAGUCUGACAUUUACUCUGAUGCUCUUUUUUCCCCAAUGCUUAUAAUUUUUUCUCUGUGCAAAUGUUCAAGUAUUUUCCAAUGUCAUAGUAUUUAGUUCUAGAUCCCUAUCUUCUACUGUAUCUAAUCUAAUGUUAGACUUUGUUAGUGAAUCACUUUUCCUAAAGAUAAGGAUAGAUAUACAUAAUAAAAUAAUCUUCAUCUAUCCAUGUUACAUAGCAAUUCAUUCAUAAUUUCUGUUUUCCUCUUGGUUUUUGUCCUUAUGAUAAUGUCUUUUGCCAUGCAUUUUAACUUCUGACUGAAUUUCAAACAUUAUGACUAAAAUAUAUUGUAGAGUUUCAUGUAAUAUUUUCAUAUGUUAUCUUCUAUAUCCAAAAAGAAGACCUAUCCUUCAUUUCACUGUACAGAUAGAGGGGUGGCUGAUCAUCUUAAUCCAACAAAAUUAUUAUCAAUUAAAUCUGGGUUGAAGUUCUAGUAGGACUUUAUCUACCUCUGAUUUAUACUGCUUUCUAGGUAUUUGUUUUGGUUUUGUUUUUAACCAAGAAUAUGAUGUAUUCUGUGACGUUCUUACUCUAUUAAGUAAAGAAGUCUAAUCUCUGUCUUCAUGAGAAUGCUGGAAAUUCCCUUAUGGUCUUCAUUUUUUUCUGAUAUUCUUAGCUUUGCACUCCAUGCAACCCUAGCAUUUGGCAAGCAUACUGAAGGAAGAUCAGCAAUGUACUUGAAUAUCCAAAUUUCAUUCAUAAGUCUUCUGUUUUCUCCAUCCUUUAUCAGGGGAACACAAUAAUGCCAUUUGCAGUAACAAGGAUGGAACUAGACACUCUCAUACUAGGUGAAGUUAAGUCAGAAAGAAAAAGGCAAAUACUAUAUGAUAUCACAUAUCUGGAAUCUAAUAGAUGGCACAAAUGAACCUUUCCACAGAAAAGAAACCCAUGGACUUGGAGAACAUACCUGUGUUUGCUAAGGGGGAGGGGGAGGGAGUAGGAUGACCUGGGAAUCUGGGGUUAAGUGAUGCAAACUAUUGCAUUUGGAAUGCAUAAGCAAUGAGAUCCUGCUGUAUAGCACUGAGAACUAUAUCCAGUGAUGAAGCAUGAUGGAGGAUAAUAUGAAAAAAAGAAUGUGUAUGUAUAUGUAUGUGUGUGUGUGUGUGUGUGUGUGUGUGUGUGUGUGUGUGUGACUGGG
rnacentral:lncRNA from 1 species